GUGCGUUUAAAAUUCCGCGCGCUAAAUGAGUUUCUGUGGCGGCACUUUGAAACGAACAGAACUAUUUUCAAAGUGCCGCCACAGAAACUCAUUUAGCGCGCGGAAUUUUAAACG
rnacentral:miRNA from 1 species